CACAAAGUUCUUCUUUCGAAUUGAGAGUGAAUCAUUCAAGGCAACAGCUACUUUAGACCCUGUUGAAAUUAAACUGAAAGGUUCUCCUCCGAGGCCCAGAUUAGAAGUCUCAGCUGAUCUGAAGGACCUGAAGGAGAAGGAGUCUGUCACUGUAACCUGCUCAGCUCCCACUCCCUGUUCACACUCCCCUCCUCAACUCACCUGGAGCCUCCAACAAGACGCUCUCAGCCAAACUGAGGAAAACUCAAACAGAACCUUCAGCACUCAGAUCCAGAAGACCCUCACUCUGUCAGACACACAUGAUGGAUUCAACCUCAGCUGCUCUGCUGUGUAUCCUGUUGCUGGAGGAGAACCUGUGAAAACACCUGAGACAGAGUUAACUCUCAGUGUUUCAUAUUCUCCUAAAGACACGACAGUCUCCAUCAGUCCAUCAGGGAGCUGGGUGACCCUGACCUGCUCCAGCAGAGCCAAACCUGCCGUCAGCAGCUUCACCUGGUUCAAGAACAGUGACCAUGGACCCAUCAAAGUGUCUGAAGGAGAAUUUUACACCUUUAAUGUGGCUGACAUAACAGAUCCAGAA